CCUUCAAAUGUGGAGAUUUACAUGGCUUUUUUUAUGUUUUGAUUUAUUUCAAACAUAUUUGUAACUAUGAUCAAUACUAUAAGAUCAAUGGCACCAUCUACACUUAACCAACAUAGGUCAGUUGCAGCCCUACAUCACGUCCCUACAAAGUUUCCUUUCGUGUUAUUUGAUGACGUUGAGAGCGAUGACUUACCAAAAUUUAAGAGUAUCGUAGCCAGAAUCGUUGUUAAGUUCCCUAGACGUCAUGACAGCCAACAUUUUAUUCUACAAGACAUCACUGGGUCAAAAAUAGAAGCAAUUUCAUACCGCGAUAAUGUCCAAAGAUUUGACACCUUACUCCAACAAGGAUCUACAUAUACAUUAUAUGGAGUGGCGUU